AGUGAACGCUGGCGGCGUGCCUAAUACAUGCAAGUCGAACGGCGUGGCGCACGCGUGAGUAAUAUAUAGCUAAUCUGCCCCUUGCUGGAGGACAACCGAUAGAAAUGACUGCUAAUACUCCAUAGCAAGGGAUAAGACUAUAUCGUAUCAGCUAGUCGGUGGGGUAACGGCCUUCCGAGGCGAUGACGCGUAACUGGUCUGACAGGAUGAACAGUAAAAUUGGAAGUGAGACACGGGUCAAACUCCUACGAGAAUCGGCAGGAGGGAAUAUUGCGCAAUAGGCGAAACCCUGGCAGAGCAACGCCGCGUGGAGGAUUAAACUUUUCGAAGCGUAAACUCCAUUUGUUAGAGAAGCGGUACCUAACGAAUAAGCACCGGCUAACUCCGUGCCAGCAGCCGCGGUAAUAC
rnacentral:rRNA from 1 species